ACAAUCCUAAAGCACUCUCAAAACUCUCUCUAAACCAUUCUAAAUUCGAGCAAUAUCAGAUUUUCGGCCAGAUUCAGCAAGCUCCACUAAAGUGAGCAUAACUUCUUCAUUUCUCAUCCGUUUUAGCCCAUUCUUUUUUCCAGAGCGCUUGGCUUGACCUUGGCUUCGAUUCUAGGGGUGUUUCACAGCAAACAAGUCCCUGGAACUCCGGCAAAAAGGCUUCAAAGGCCACUGUUCAAGUUUGUUUUCAUUAAUCUUUGUUUAAACAUGAGUCUAACUCACUCAAACCCACGUCCUUAUGCUUAUAACCACUUCUAUGGUUAGUUAAGCUUAAAAACGGGGCUAAGACAUACAAAAUCAGAGGUUAAUCCUCAAAUACUUUGUGUUUUGUUUAGGGUUUUUGACCCACAAGUGGUGUUCAAGCUUCAAGCUUGAUAAAGGUGUGAUUGUGGACUAACUUGGGUUGUCCAAUCUAAAAUCCCCACAUCCCUUGAUGAUUUCUCAUAGUGUAGAUGUUUCUUAUUCUUGUAUUCAUAUUAGUUCAUGACCUUCCUUGUAUGUUAUUACAUCAAGUGUAGUGGUGAACCAUAAGAGGUACCUAAAUGGAAGCUUGUUCUUCCUACCUCCUACAUGAAUUCUAUGACACAAUAGAGGUACCUAAAUGAAGAUUAUCUUCUACCUCAUGCUUGAUUAAUGGACUAAAUAAUACCUAUAAUACUUAUACAUAUAUUUACUAUUCGAACUCUUGAUGAUGGACUUGUGUUCAUUCGUCAAAGUAGUAGAAUACAUCAUCCAAGACAUAAGACUUGUUACGAUUCUAAUGAGUAUACUACUCAUGAAAACAUUAACCUUUGAGGUUUCAUAGUGUCAAGAACAAGUACUUAAUGUUGAAGGAUGAUUACUUUCGAAUACAUAUGUUCUUGUGUUUUCAUAUUAGUUCAUGACCCUCCUAAAUCUUCCAAAUGCCCAAACUCACACACCUAUAUUUCCUUUGUGUAGAAGGACUUGGUGUUCCAAACUCCUAAUCAAUCAACUCACUCACGGGAUUAUCAAGUAGAAGACUUGCAAAACCGUGAGUAUACUCGCAACCCCCUUUUUAUGUUUACCACUUUUUGGGGUGUUGAUGAUGACGAUGCUAUGAAAAGAAGUAGCGUUGAUGCCUAGAUACACAUAUAGACGUUUAGGUUUAAUAUGUUGUAUCAAUUUUGCUUAUGUUGUUAUGUACUUCUUUGAACUUGUUGUAUUUGAAUUCCUUGUAAUGUUGACAAUUUACCUUAUGAAAUGAAAUCGAUU
rnacentral:lncRNA from 1 species